CUAUAAAAAAUAUAUUUAUUAAAUUUAUAAAUAUAUCAUUGAGUACAGAUCGAAUUUAGUUGAAUAAUCAUAUCUAUUUUAAACUAGCAUACCUCUUGUAGACACAAGGAUGCGAUUUUUGGAUCGGACACUAUCUUAUAUAUCAUAUUACGAAGAGCAGCAAGAAGCUCGUUAUCCAUAUCUAUCCUAGGAGUGGUAUACUAGAAUCCCGGAUUCAAAUAGUAAGCUACAGAUAAAUUCCAUAAUUGAUUAAGUAUACUUUUACAAGUAUAAGAAAAGAAAUAUUUUAAAAGACUUUUGAAUCCAUACUUACUGGCUAGAUGCAAAUCUCUAUCCAUCUGAUAGUCCCAACGACGCUCAAUGAUGUUAAUGAAUUCUUAAGCAUCCUUCGAAUAUUCUCACUGAUCUGUUUCUUUGCCCUCUCCAUCAUGUAAUAUAAGAAGCCCAUCUGGGGAUAUUUUUCACUAUCCACGAUGCGAAGCACCUCAUAUAAUGGCUUAAUAGCCUUCACUUUCUUUUCAGCCUACUGCCAAAAUGACUGACUCAUCACCAAAUUCUCUACAUGACUUCCAUGAGUGCCGGCUCUCGCAUAUCUGCUCUCUUGCCACUUGGCACUGACAAAUAUCUGACAUAAGGCUGCUUUCUUCUGAAAAAGAUUAUCAAGUGUUAUGUAGUUGGUAGCAAAUCGUGUGACAUCUGAUCUCAAAAUCUUCCCCCCAAUAUACGUCCGCAUCAAUGAAAGGACCCAUGUUUGAUUGUAGAUGAAUCUAAUAAUAGUUUGGACAA
rnacentral:lncRNA from 1 species